rnacentral:rRNA from 1 species
UACAGAGGUCCCAAGCGUUACUGAGAAUCACUGGGUUUAAAGGGUGCGUAGGUGGUCCGUUAAGUCAGUUGUGAAAUCCCCGGGCUCAACCCGGGAACUGCUUCUGAUACUGGCGGACUUGAGGCCAGUAGAGGUCACUGGAACUGACGGUGGAGCGGUGAAAUGCGUAGAUAUCGUCAGGAACGCCGGUGGUGAAGACGGGUGACUGGGCUGGUUCUGACACUGAGGCACGAAAGCGUGGGGAGCAAACGGG